rnacentral:tRNA from 1 species
CGCGGGAUAGAGCAGUAGGCAGCUCGUCGGGCUCAUAACCCGAAGGUCGCAGGUUCAAAUCCUGCCCCCGCCACCA